rnacentral:rRNA from 1 species
GACGAACGCUGGCGGCGUGCUUAACACAUGCAAGUCGAACGGAAAGGCCCUGCUUUUGUGGGGUGCUCGAGUGGCGAACGGGUGAGUAACACGUGAGUAACCUGCCCUUGACUUUGGGAUAACUUCAGGAAACUGGGGCUAAUACCGGAUAGGAGCUCCUGCUGCAUGGUGGGGGUUGGAAAGUUUCGGCGGUUGGGGAUGGACUCGCGGCUUAUCAGCUUGUUGGUGGGGUAGUGGCUUACCAAGGCUUUGACGGGUAGCCGGCCUGAGAGGGUGACCGGCCACAUUGGGACUGAGAUACGGCCUAGACUCCUACGGGGGGCAGCAGUGGGGAAUAUUGCACAAUGGGCGGAAGCCUGAUGCAGCAACGCCGCGUGCGGGAUGACGGCCUUCGGGUUGUAAACCGCUUUCGCCUGUGACGAAGCGUGAGUGACGGUAAUGGGUAAAGAAGCACCGGCUAACUACG